rnacentral:tRNA from 1 species
GGCGUUAUAGCUCAGUUGGUUAGAGCGAUCGACUCAUAAUCGAUAGGUCCCUGGUUCAAGUCCAGGUAACGCCA